rnacentral:misc_RNA from 1 species
GAUGAAGAACGCAGCGAAAUGCGAUAAGUAAUGUGAAUUGCAGAAUUCAGUGAAUCAUCGAAUCUUUGAACGCACCUUGCGCCCUUUGGCUAUUCCGAAGGGCAUGCCUGUUUGAGUAUCAUGAACACCUCAACUCUCAUGGUUUGCCAUGAUGAGCUUGGACUUUGGGGGUCUUGCCGGCCUAUGGGUCGGCUCCUCUCAAAUUAAUCAGCUUGCCAGUGUUUGGUGGCAUCACAGGUGUGAUAACUAUCUACGCUUGUGGUUUUCCAUCAGGUAACCUUCAGUGAUGGAGGUUCGCUGGGGCUCAUAAAUGUCUCUCCUCAGUGAGGACAGCUUUUUUGAACGUUUGAUCUCAAAUCAGGUAGGACUACCCGCUGAACUUAAGCAUAUCAUAAGCGAGGA